rnacentral:tRNA from 1 species
UAGGGCUAUACGGACUCGAACCAAAAA